UAGGGGCCACCGGAGGAACCGGACGUGGCGGACAGCAGACCUCGCCAGAAAGAACACCCCAGAGACGGAUGCCACGCAUGUGAAUGCGCAUGAAGCCAGCGAACUCGGUGUAGUUAGUACCGUCGAAGAUCACCGGACAGCGAGGGACAGCGACAAAGCCCGAGGCAGUAGACAUUUUUUUUUUUUUGCAAAGAUCCGAACGAGGACAACGGCGCAGCAGACCACAGAUGGCAGCCCAGCCGAUCAGGAGGGGAUCGAACUGGCGGGAGGGGCGGACGAUCCGGAGCUGCCCGGGCACCGGGCGGAAGUAGAGGAGCCGGGCGGGGCGACGGGAAGGAGCCGGGCGGGCGCGGGCGGGCGACGAACUGGAGGGCGGGCGACGGCAGCACCUGGCGGGAGGAAGAGGUGCCGGGCGGGCGCUGGCGGCGACGAACUGGAGGGCGGGCGAGGCAGAGUAGCGACGCCGAGACAGAGGAAAAAUCGCGGCGGCGGCAGGACGGGAUCGAGCACGAGUUGCGCGUGCGAAAAAGAGACCUAAAGCUCUAAUACCAUGUUAGGAAUAAGCAACUUGUAUUCCCAUGAGGCCAUAGGCCGAUAUAUAUACAUGUACAGGUGUGGUAUAUAUGCAGGAAACCUCUUAUACUACGGGAUAAAUACGAAGGGGUAUACACGACUUAUACUAUAACUCUAACACUCUGAUCCUCCACCCACGCAUGACAAAGAGGUUCUCUCCCGUGAGGUGCUACACACAAAUGACCCUACAGGUUUCCUUGCUGCGCCUGUCUGCAGCCUCCUCUCCUCCCUCACCCGCUUACACUUUUAUGGCAAUCAUGAGGGGGAGGUGGAGCGCUUCACUAAUGAGCAAGAGGGUGCCCUUCAGCUCCUCACCUCCCUCCGGGACCUCAGGUGUAGCGAGUUGUACAAGCUGCACUGCCUCCCAGCAGGGCUACACAGAGUUUCCAGCCUCGAGACAUUACGGAUUGAGUACGGCCGUUCCUUCAAAUCACUGCCCAAGGAUGGCCUUCCGAGUUCUCUGAAAUAUUUAGAGAUUUGGUGCUGUUCUGCCUUCAAAUCGCCGCCCAAGGACAGCCUACCAAGUUCUCUGACACAUUUAGAGAUCCACGGUUGUUCUGCCUUUGAAUCGCUGCCAAAGGAAGGUCUGCCUUGUUCUCUGCAAACUCUAGAGAUCUGGGACUGCCCUGCCUUCAAAUCGCUGCCAAAGGACAGUCUCCCAAGUUCUCUGGAAAAUGUAGAGAUCUGGGACUGUCCUGCCUUGACAUCGCUACCCAAGGAUGGGCUCCCAAGUUCACUGCGGAAGUUAACAGUCCGGUCUGGCAACAGCAAGGAGCUAAUGAGGCAGUGCCGCAAGUUAAAAGGAACCAUUCCAAUAAUUGACGACUAAUCCAAGGGCUCUUCUCUGUGCAUCCAAGUACAGUUUGAGGUUCCAGUGCAAGCAUGAAGACCCCAGUUUGUAUCUUCAAUCCUGUACAUAAAGUUGGUUAGGAUUUGAAUAAUCACCCCAACUCCAAUAGUUUCAUACGUUGUUUAGAAAUUCAAUCCACACAUUUUUUUUAUGUGUGCUGUUAAUAUAUUUUGAGUUAUUCCAGACUGUCAGUAUUAGAGUUCGAGCAAGAGCGAGAGCAACUAUUAAAAAAAAAAUCGAAUCAUCUUCUUUUUUUGUCAUUUUAGUACUUUCUCUUAAUGAUCUUGUAAGAUUUUGAUCCUAAGUAAAGCAAUAAUGCCAGGAUUGUAUGUGCUAAUUUACGAAGUAGUGUCUGACCAGAGGGACAAUUUUGUUUUCAAAAUAAAAAAGGUGUCUACUGCGG